AGAUAAUCAUAUAAUUUCAUAUAAUAGAAGCAUAGAAGUUAUUGUAUAUAUCAACAAAACUUAUUAUACAGAACUUCUAUUAUAUAUGAAAAUCAGAUAGUUAGUUAAUCAUUGUUCAAUAAAUUUUAAUGAAUAUUGAAAUUUUUGUGUGUAAAAAGAUUGAAUAUUUCAAUCAGAAUCACUUUGUUCGUUAUGUCCUGUAUUUAUCUCUUACCUACGCGUACCAGCCGCCACUGUUGAAAAAAUAAAUGUUUAGUGUUUUUCAUAUUCCAUCAUCUGUAAAGUGUCUCAGUCAGCUGUAGACUGAUUCUAAGCAAAUAAACAACUAUCACAAAAGUACACUUUGUUCAUUUGCCUUACGAAUUUCCACAAUCGCUACUAAGAUAAAGAACAUCUACAUACCAAAUUCAGUGUACAGUCGAUGCAGUAGAUAGUUUGUCCUCUACCCAAGAGUUGGCGCCAACGAAUACAUCCUAGUGGCAGUUGAUGGUUACUCAAAGUUAAACUGGUUGCUUCCAUCGAAAAAUUACGUCAGGUCCCAAGGAUACUAAAAAGAGAGAUUGAAGAGACUUUAGAACUAAAUACCCUGAGAAGAGAGUCCCUCUCUUCUGAUGGUCUUUGGUUCCAAAGUCUCCAUGGAGAGAUGCACGAGGAAGUUGGAAGCCAAGAGUUCAUAGAAGAAAUAUUGAAGGGGUAUUAAAAUUCUUUCGUUGAGAAGGGUCACAGAAGAAAUAAUGUAAUUCAAUAUUAUUUGCAAUAUAAUCAAAUUAUAUUAACCAGUUCAAGAAUGUUAUUUUACUUGUUGGCUAAUAAUAUAUUUAUAUAAAAUUAUAAUGUUGAAUAUGUUUGUCUAUACAAUUCACAGGUCCCAAGGAUACUAAAAAGAGAGAUUGAAGAGACUUUAGAUCUAAAUACCCUGAGAAGAGAGUCCCUCUCUUCUGAUGGUCUUUGGUUCCAAAGUCUCCAUGGAGAGAUGCACGAGGAAGUUGGAAGCCAAGAGUUCAUAGAAGAAAUAUUGAAGGGGUAUUAAAAUUCUUUCGUUGAGAAGGGUCACAGAAGAAAUAAUGUAAUUCAAUAUUAUUUGCAAUAUAAUCAAAUUAUAUUAACCAGUUCAAGAAUGUUAUUUUACUUGUUGGCUAAUAAUAUAUCUAUAUAAAAUUAUAAUGUUGAAUAUGUUUGUCUAUACAAUUCACAGGUCCCAAGGAUACUAAAAAGAGACAUUGAAGAGACUUUAGAUCUAAAUACCCUGAGAAGAGAGUCCCUCUCUUCUGAUGGUCUUUGGUUCCAAAGUCUCCAUGGAGAGAUGCACGAGGGAGUUGGAAGCCAAGAGUUCUUAGAAGAAAUAUUGAACAGGAUACCAAGAAGAGAGAUUGGAGAGAAUUUGGAUCCAAAUACACUGAGAAGACAGUCCCUCUCUUCCAAUGGUUUUCGGUUCCAAAGACUCCAUUGAUAGAUAAAGAAGAGGGUUCGUUUCCAAGAAGCUUAGAAGAAUUUUUUACGAUGUAUCAAGAAUUUUAAAAUUCUAACCUUAUAUAACCUUCGAUUUAACAGCCUACAAAAGGCAGGACAAAGUUAAAUAACUUUUGUGAUAUAGUUUAAAACCUGUUGUUUUAAGGUAUGAUAUUUUAUUUCUUAACUAAUUAUAUAUCCACAUGAAAUAUAAUACACAUAUUUGUGAAUACACUUAACAGUUCAUAAGAAUACUAAGAAGACACGUUGAAGAGAAUUUGAGUCUCUCUCUUCUGAUGGUUUUCGGUUCCAAAGUAUUCAUGGAGAGAGUUCGAAGCCAAAAGUUCUUAUAAGGAAUAUUAAAGGUUUAUCAAGAUUUUUUCAUUGAGAAGUUCACAUAAGACAGAAUGUAGUUAAAUAUAAUUUGCAAUAUAAUAAAUUCUAUUGACCAGUUCAA